AGGUGAACCUGCGGAGGGAUCAUUACAAGUGACCCCGGUCUAACCACCGGGAUGUUCAUAACCCUUUGUUGUCCGACUCUGUUGCCUCCGGGGCGACCCUGCCUUCGGGCGGGGGCUCCGGGUGGACACUUCAAACUCUUGCGUAACUUCGCAGUCUGAGUAAACUUAAUUAAUAAAUUAAAACUUUUAACAACGGAUCUCUUGGUUCUGG
rnacentral:misc_RNA from 1 species